UACGGAGGGUGCGAGCGUUGUCCGGAAUCACUGGGCGUAAAGGGCGCGUAGGCGGCUCAUGAAGGCUGUGGUGAAAGUCCGGGGCUCAACCUCGGAUCGGCCGUGGCGACUCGUGGGCUGGAGCACUGUAGAGGCGGGUGGAAUUCCGGGUGUAGCGGUGGAAUGCGUAGAGAUCCGGAAGAACACCAGUGGCGAAGGCGGCUACCUGGACCAGCACUGACACUGAGGCACGAAAGCGUGGGGAGCAAACAGG
rnacentral:rRNA from 1 species